ACAUACAUCACAAGACCUUGUUCAUUGUGUGGCAUUAUCUUUCACCUCUUUCAUCUGCUUAAUCUAAUAUGAGAUUCUAAAAUCUUUUAUUUCCUAGUGCUGUUCUAAUGUUGCAGAAAUUGGAGCUAUAGGGGGAGAAGAAAAAAACUUGAGUCAAAAUCUACUCUAAUGAAACUGUCCACGUUAGCAACUUUUCACCUGCAGUCACUAAGCAUAUUUGUACCAAGUGAAUUUGGCCAUACAAGUUGCAGCAACGAACGAUUUCUGACUAUCUGUCUCUAUCCCCCUCUCUGUCUUGACACUAUAUGAUCACUGCAACUUAAAUAAAGCAUGAAGAGCAAUUAUAUUAAACCAGACUAAUAUAAUUAAAGAUAAACAGAUUAAUUCUUAUCUCACUUUUUGUUCUCUCUGUCUAAUCUGUCUGUCUCUGGAGCAUAUGUUGUUUGAGUCGACUAAAGACCUUCCGUUUGCUUUUCUAUUAUGCUCAUAUUGAUUAAACCCUUCUGCAUCUUCAUGCUUGAUUGGGACUUGACCCUUUUUACUUCUUGUUGCUGAUGUUAAAGUUCCAGAAGUGUUUAUUCUCUUACUAAGCAUGCAGGAGAAUGGUUUAUUUGAUGAUGAAAGAGAUGUCUCUCCUUGGGGAUGAGGUGCAAUAUUCUGUUUGUUGAGAUCUACAUUGCAGUGUUACAUGCACUUGUUUUGGUCCAACAGGUUAGUUCAAAUUGUAAGCAUAAGCUUGUAUGUUCACAGUGGUUCUAAUGCACAAGGCUUUUGCUGUUACGGAGACAGGAACAAGUACUGGUAAAUGCUGAGAAGUACUUCUGAUCAGAUGGAGAGAUGUGAAGCUCAUAGGUGCUGGAGUUAAUGUCGGCGAAAGCACAAAUAAGGUGACUGAACAGAGCUGAAUUUAUGUCUGCAAUGGGAAACUCCGUGCCAGAAUACCAGUAGCCUGCCUUUAUCCAAUUUUGUGCUAUUGAGUACGGCAGAUUAGAUGGCAGAAUUACCAGUAAAAGCAGGAUGAUCCUACUGACUGAUGCCAUAAAAGAAUUGCCUUCAGAGAUUUCCAAGAGGUUUUGCUGUUUAGCAAACAUGGCAACUGAAGAUAUUUUUGUUUAGCAAACUUUAAUUUCCAUGAGGACAAUAUGUUAAAUCUCACAAUAGAAAGUGGCUGGUUUCCAGCAUCUAAACCUGAGGAUUAGUAGGCUAGAUUUCUGGCCUCUGCUAAAUCAUAAAAUUCUCUGAAAUUUUAGUA